rnacentral:tRNA from 1 species
GCCGAAUGGCGUAGUGGUUAGUGAGCCCGACUACUGAGCCGAUGGUCUCGGGUUCGAUUCCCGGCUGGGGCA